rnacentral:sRNA from 1 species
GCCAGGUGUGGUGGUGCAUGCCUGUAAUCCCAGUGGCUCGGGAGGCUGAGAUAGGAGGAUCAAGGGUUCAAAGCCAGCCUCAGCAAUAGUGAGGCACUAAGCAACUCAGUGAGACCCUGUCUCUA